rnacentral:rRNA from 1 species
CCUACGGGAGGCAGCAGUGAGGAAUAUUGGUCAAUGGGCGGAAGCCUGAACCAGCCAAGUCGCGUGAGGGAAUAAGGCCCUACGGGUCGUAAACCUCUUUUGCCGGGGAGCAAGGGCGGGGACGUGUCCCGGCCCGGAGAGUACCCGGAGAAAAAGCAUCGGCUAACUCCGUGCCAGCAGCCGCGGUACUACGGAGGAUGCGAGCGUUAUCCGGAUUUAUUGGGUUUAAAGGGUGCGUAGGCGGGCUUUUAAGUCAGCGGUAAAAUUUCGGGGCUCAACCCAGUCCGGCCGUUGAAACUGGGGGCGUUGAGUGGGCGAGAAGAAGGCGGAAUGCGUGGUGUAGCGGUGAAAUGCAUAGAUAUCACGCAGAACCCCGAUUGCGAAGGCAGCCUUCCGGCGCCCUACUGACGCUGAGGCACGAAAGCGUGGGUAUCGAACAGGAUUAGAUACCCCGGUAGUC